AAUAAUUUAACUCAUAUAAGUAAAAUGAGCUCCAAUAACAUACAAUUGCUACCUCGUUUCGAUUCCAAAUUUGAAUGUAUUUUUCAAUUAAGAAUCAAUUAUUCCGAAGAGGGGAGAGAGAGAAAGAGAGUCUCUCAAUUAUUCCGAAGAGGGGAGAGAGAGAAAGAGAGUCUUGGACUCAUUGGUUGCAGCAACAGCUCCAUCUACUUGCAAAAAGUAAGCAGGAGCCUCCAUUCGGGAAACCAAUUGUGUUGCAUAUCUCACCACACAUAGGGUUUGGGGCGUCCUCGCAGCUGGCUGGGCACGUGCCAGGAACAAACCUCUCCAAUCUUGCACCAUAACCUGAAACUCACAUAUGUUAUUUUCACACGUGUACAAACAAGUGUUUGAGCAAGGGUAUUUUAGUGAUUUUUUGUAGAUGGAUGAGAGGCAUGAGGGGUAUUUUGGUAAUUCUAAAAUAACAUGGACUUUUAAGGGUAUGAGGGGCAUUUAGGUGAUUUAGACGACAAAGUAGUCAUAACAUCAUAGAUAUUUUCAAUACUCUACCUAUCACACGGAUAAGAGUCACGAUUAUGAGAAAUACAGAAUACAUUCUAACCAGAUCUCGAUGUCAUACAUUCACACACAUAUUUACCAUCACAUCCAUAUUCAUGUUUGCACUUCACAUUUUGAUUAUCUAAACAUCAUGCAUCAAACAAAAAUAAGAAAACAUGGAAGCUAUAUUCACUUACUUACUGCAAAUGAAACUCUUAAGUCUUCCUCCAACUUCACUAUGACUGCCCAGCUCGAAAACAUGGAAGUUAGAUCCAACUUACCUACUGCAAAUGAAACUCUAAAGUCUUCAUCUAACUUCACUAUGACUGCCCAACUCUAAUGACUAAGGUUCAACCUUAAGGAACAAGGUUUAGAGAGCUCAAAUGACCAAAGGAGGAGAGGUGGACGUGGGUGAGAAAUAGAAAAUCCUAUUUCAUGGGUGGUGGGGUGAAUAAAUAAUCAUAUAUGGUGACAGCAUGUAAUGGACAAGUGGUGGUAGCAUGGGACAAGUGACAACACACAAAUAACAAGU
rnacentral:lncRNA from 1 species